rnacentral:rRNA from 1 species
UACGUAGGGUGCGAGCGUUGUCCGGAAUUACUGGGCGUAAAGAGCUCGUAGGUGGUUUGUCGCGUUGUUCGUGAAAACUCACAGCUUAACUGUGGGCGUGCGGGCGAUACGGGCAGACUGGAGUACUGCAGGGGAGACUGGAAUUCCUGGUGUAGCGGUGGAAUGCGCAGAUAUCAGGAGGAACACCGGUGGCGAAGGCGGGUCUCUGGGCCGAUACUGACACUGAGGAGCGAAAGCAUGGGGAGCGAACAGG